CAGUCGCCGCGGUAAUACGGAGGGUGCAAGCGUUAAUCGGAAUUACUGGGCGUAAAGCGCACGCAGGCGGUCUGACAAGUCAGAUGUGAAAUCCCCGGGCUUAACCUGGGAACUGCAUUUGAAACUGUCAGGCUGGAGUCUUGUAGAGGGGGGUGGAAUUCCAGGUGUAGCGGUGAAAUGCGUUGAGAUCUGGAGGAAUACCGGUGGCGAAGGCGGCCCCCUGGACAAAGACUGACGCUCAGGUGCGAAAGCGUGGGGAGCAAACAGGAUUAGAGACCCCAGUAGUCCCUGUCUCUUAUAC
rnacentral:rRNA from 1 species